rnacentral:rRNA from 1 species
UACCCCUAGCAAAUCUCAAAAAACCGUCUCAGUUCGGAUUGGGCUCUGCAACUCGAGCCCAUGAAGUUGGAAUCGCUAGUAAUCGUGGAUCAGCAUGCCACGGUGAAUACGUUCCCGGGCCUUGUACACACCGCCCGUCACACCAUGGGAGUUGGUUGGACCAGAAGUCGCUGCGCUAACCCGUAAGGGAGGCAGGUGCCCAAGGUCUGGUCAGCGACUGGGGUGAAG